rnacentral:rRNA from 1 species
UGGGGAAUAUUGCACAAUGGGCGAAAGCCUGAUGCAGCAACGCCGCGUGAGGGACGACGGCCUUCGGGUUGUAAACCUCUUUUAGCAAGGAAGAAGCGAAAGUGACGGUACUUGCAGAAAAAGCGCCGGCUAACUACGUGCCAGCAGCCGCGGUAAUACGUAGGGCGCAAGUGUUAUCCGGAAUUAUUGGGCGUAAAGAGCUCGUAGGCGGUUUGUCGCGUCUGCUGUGAAAACCCGAGGCUCAACCUCGGGCCUGCAGUGGGUACGGGCAGACUAGAGUGCGGUAGGGGAGAUUGGAACUCCUGGCGUAGCGGUGGAAUGCGCAGAUAUCAGGAAGAACACCG